rnacentral:rRNA from 1 species
GAUGAACGCUAGCGGCAGGCCUAACACAUGCAAGUCGAGGGGUAGAGUUAGCUUGCUAACUUGAGACCGGCGCACGGGUGCGUAACGCGUAUGCAAUCUACCUUGUACAGAGGGAUAGCCCAGAGAAAUUUGGAUUAAUACCUCAUAGUAUCUUUACCUGGCAUCGGGUAAUUAUUAAAGUUCCAACGGUACAAGAUGAGCAUGCGUCCCAUUAGUUAGUUGGUAAGGUAACGGCUUACCAAGACAAUGAUGGGUAGGGGUCCUGAGAGGGAGAUCCCCCACACUGGUACUGAGACACGGACCAGACUCCUACGGGAGGCAGCAGUGAGGAAUAUUGGUCAAUGGACGCAAGUCUGAACCAGCCAUGCCGCGUGCAGGAAGACGGUCCUAUGGAUUGUAAACUGCUUUUUAUACAGGAAGAAACAACUCUACGUGUAGAGUCUUGACGGUACUGUAGGAAUAAGGAUCGGCUAACUCCGUGCCAGCAGCCGCGGUAAAGUA